rnacentral:rRNA from 1 species
CUGGGCUUAAAUGUAGAGUGCAUGACUUGGAAACAGGUCUUUCCUUCGGGACUCUUUACAAGGUGCUGCAUGGUUGUCGUCAGCUCGUGCCGUGAGGUGUCGGGUUAAGUCCCAUAACGAGCGCAACCCCUAUCGUUAGUUGCCAGCGGAUCAUGCCGGGGACUCUAACGAAACUGCCGGUGUAAACCGAGAGGAAGGUGGGGAUGACGUCAAAUCAGCACGGCCCUUAUGUCCAGGGCUACACACGUGUUACAAUGGCCAGUACAAUGGGCAGCUACCAGGUGACUGGAUGCUAAUCUCCAAAGCUGGUCUCAGUUCGGAUCGGAGUCUGCAACUCGACUCCGUGAAGUUGGAUUCGCUAGUAAUCGUAUAUCAGCAAUGAUACGGUGAAUACGUUCC